UAGGCUUCCCAAUGAAACCAUUCUAAUUGUUUAAAGUAAAUAUUUUAAAGUUUUACUCUUUCAUCUAUAAUGCUAAUUAUGUACAUUACAUUACAUUGCCUCUUAAUCAAAGGGAAUUUCAGUAGCCUCCUUAUAGGCUAAUACUCUAAUAUAAUACUCUAAUUCAUACUCCAAUGCAUUUCCAAAAAUAUUACCCUUUAGUUUAAGGAUUAGAUAAGAUAUAGAUUAUGCAUCUUGAAAUAGUUAUGCACUAGAAUGAUGAAUAUAAAAAAAUCCUAAACAUGUAUUAUGAACAAUUUUGCUGGGGUGAAAAACUGCAAUAUUUCUGAAUUGAUGCAACUGUUCCCCUCUGAUGUAAAUACUCUGCUUUUACACAUAAAAUAUGACUCUCUGGGCUGUAUGUUUCCUGCUUGGGUUCUGCCCUUUGUGUUUAUGUUAUCACAAUUAUACAAAGUCAUUUUGUGACUAAUUUCCAGAGCACUGAGUCACAGUGUGACUGUUGCUUAUCUUUUCUUUUUUUCUGCACAGCACUGUUCCUGGCCCUCAUUUUUUUUCAUAAUACUCUUAUACAAAUGAACUCUUUCCAUAAUUAAAUAACUUGGUCUCAUUAUAGUUCUGUAGUUGUUCUAUAUUAUGGGCUUUCCUUUACUACCAGAGGCUAAGUUUAAUAUCAUUUUAUAAGCAAAAAGAACAUGACAGUUCAUCAUAUAGAUCAAAAAACUGGGGAGUGGAGAAUAAUGAAAGAAAUGCAAUCUGAUCCUGCCAGCGGUGAAAGGGGUGAGGAAUAAUAACAAUAACAAUAAUUAACACUGACCUAAAACGUGGAACACGCAGAGCCAAGAUAUGACGUCAGAGGUGUAGCCCGUACAGAUGACGUCAGGCGUGAGACUCUGGCAAAUGACGUCGGACGUGAAGACCUGACCGACGACGUCGGAUGUGAGGCUCUGAGGACGUCAGACGUGAAAACCUGUCUGACAAGACGGGCGCCUGUCCUGGAGGUGACUCCGGGAGCAUAAGUCUGAGGGAUACGAUCUGGCUGCCCAGCGCAGAUGCGCCAUCAGAUACGCUGUGAGCAUCAUGAUCUGAGGCACUUACACCUUGGACGCUGUCUGGAGUAAGUUGCUGUCAUCUCCAUCCUCAAGUGGAAGAUCAAGGAGACUUACGAGGUACAGUGGAACAUCAGAGACCUCUUGGUAAACCCACCAGACAUGCAGUGCCCUCUGUGAAAAACAGCAAGGUACUUAAUGGAACAGGUGGUUCCUGCUCUGAUGUUCUUUUGUUGACUGUGGACUCAUCAUCCUAUCUUGCUUCUGACCAAGGAAACUGUGAAGUGGCCAGAAUCUUUCAUUGUAGAAGCCUCAAUAUGGCAGAACUGUCAGGAUCUACUUUAGAAGAACAGGACCUGAGAAACUACAUACCCACACUGUUUAAUGCCUCUAUUCAUUGUAGGUAAGAUUGGAUGUGCUCCCAUUAUCAUCUUUAAACACAAUUCUGUUCUUUAUAGUUAACAACUGAUAAUCUAAUAAAGAAAAGGAUUUCCCUUGAAAUUUGGAAUAUAAAUUAUAUAUAUUAUAAAUUAUGCUACAAAGCAUGCUUAAUUGACUUGCUAUUUUUUGAGAACUAAUCCAAAAUUUUAGAAAAGAAUGUCAAGCCAUGCCUCCUUACCAACCACAAGAAGUUACUGUGUAACAUUUUUUGAAGCAUAGAAAAAUAUAAAUAGAACCUUACAUGGUAGGAUAACAUGUAUCAUUUUUUCUUCAUUCUUUCAAUACUUUCCCCCUCAUUCAGCUGAAAAAUCUUCUGUUCUUUUUUUAGGGAAAUGGUUAAACAUGUACUCAGGCACACUCCACAGUGCAGUUAACCUCAUUACACAUGUUUUCUGAGGCAGAUAUGAGACCAGACAAUGUCAACAGUCUUUCUCUAGGAUAUUUCAAAUAGGAUAUAAAAAAAUAAAGUUCCUUCCUCUCCAGUGAUAAAGAUGAAAAGAUGUAAGCCUUGAAGCCACUCAUGGCUGAAAUUGCACCUUAAUCAAGAAAUCCACACAGAGGGGUUAGAGGCAACAAACAUACAGAGAGAAACACACAAAAUAUGACAGAAACUGGGAGAUACUGGAUAUCAAACUCUCCUAGCAAGAUGGAAAGCAGAUUUCAGAAUAAGCUGUAAUUAGAUACUAAUACAAAAAAAAGGAGAUGAUAAAUCUGAUCAGUAAAUCAAAGAAGUUAGAGACUAAGGAUAAUUUAAUCUCUUUAGAUUCUUAUUAAAUAGUGGUUGGACCAGAAGGCAGACCUAGAAAAAGAAAUAAAACACAUUCCAGAAAAUGUAGAGAUUUUGUGUAUUUUUGUGAUGAAAAAUACAAAAUAUUUAAGGGCACUAAGGUCAACUCCGCUGUUCUUAAGAUCACUUCACUUUGAAUCAACCAUUGGACAGUAUCAUCCACAUCUCCAGUGACAUACUCUGGCUUUGGUUCUAUUUAAAAGCAAGCAAUUCAUAGUCUUUUCUUUCAAGAAGUGGUGUAAGUUCUGGCUCUCAUGAUCCUUGACUUCAUGAUAAUCAGAUGUGGCCACACCUCCCCAUUAUAGCCAGUAAGAUAUACAUGGAUCUUCCUGGGGGAUAGGAGGUAUGGGUUCUGGAAGAGCUUUUAAUAAUAAGGACAGCCUUGGUUGGCAUCCUUCUUCAGUUGCUUUCUCUUCCAUUUGUGCUUUCCUCUUUUUCUAUCUGGACAAUGGAUACAGUGAUCAAAAAACACAGCAACUAUUUUUAGACUAAGAAUAGGGGUAACAUACUAAACAUGGUAGAGCAAGAAGAUAGAAGGAGAUUGAGCCCUUUUUGCUAUCCUUGGUUAGUCAUGCAAGCCCUAGACAACCUAUCUUUAGACAUAUUGUUAUGUAAGGUGAAUAAUAUCCUAAGUAGUUAAGCCCCUGUGAUUCUGGUUGGCUAUUGCUUACAGCCAGAUGCACUCUUGUUAUAAUAAGAGUUUAUACCCCAACCCCUGGCCAGAUCCAUUGAUCCAUAUAGGUAUUUCUUCUUCUUCUUUUUUUUUUUAACCCAUAGCAGCUUCAGCAUUAACAGAUGUUCUUACAAAAGUCCAAGAGAAGCCCUCUUUAUUCCAGGACCCAUUGUCUUUUUCCUAUUGUUUUUAGGUGGCAGGUGAAGGUUUAUGUCUGGUUACAGUCAGUUUCCCACCUUUGAGUGGCAGAUUUGGCCUCUCUAAAUAUUGUGUUCAUAAUAUGUCAUCAGUUAGUGAAAUGUUAAGAAAUAAAUAUACAAUUUAAAUUUGAUUGCUAUUAUAUGAGGAGUUUGUAAGCCAUUUCAUCAUACUUUAGAGAAAUUUAAUUUUCCACAUCUUUAAUCUUAAUACCUUGGUUUAUUUAAAAUCAAGUAACUCAACUAUUUCAAAAUUAAUUUUAUUAUAUAAGUCAAUGUAGUACAAAAAAUUAUUCUUAAAAGUUGAUUUUGCCUCCCUCUAUGUAUAAUCAAUAUAAUAUCAAAUAUGAUUAGAGUCUAAAAAUAACAUGACAUCUUCAGAAAUAAACUAUAAUUUCCUAUCAGAAGGAACUAGUUUCUGAGUCAUUUAAGAAUUAAAUGAAGGGUGUUUUAUGUUUUUAAUUUUAAAGAACUAUAUUCCAUAAGGAAUAUUAUAAUUUUUUUCCGUCAGGUCUUUUAAAAAAUGUGCAUGUCACCUUAGUCAUUCUGUCAGAGUGAAUCUGACAUUAAUUUAUCUUUAACUGCCAUAGCUUUCUUUAACUUUCAUGUAUCUUUACUUUUCAUAUACACUAGUAAGCAUGGAGU